CAGCAGCCACGGGAAUACGUAGGUGGCAAGCGUUGUCCGGAAUUAUUGGGCGUAAAGCGCGCGCAGGUGGUUCCUUAAGUCUGAUGUGAAAGCCCACGGCUCAACCGUGGAGGGUCAUUGGAAACUGGGGGACUUGAGUGCAGAAGAGGAAAGUGGAAUUCCAAGUGUAGCGGUGAAAUGCGUAGAUAUUUGGAGGAACACCAGUGGCGAAGGCGACUUUCUGGUCUGUAACUGACACUGAGGCGCGAAAGCGUGGGGAGCAAACAGGAUUAGAUACCCCUGUAGUCCCUGUCUCUUAUAC
rnacentral:rRNA from 1 species